rnacentral:lncRNA from 1 species
UGGUGAUACACGUGGUGGUCACACACACCUACGGGAACCCGAGUGGGAGCAAGCAUUGCUUCUGAACGGAAAGAAGAAAGCUACCCCAAUGAGGAAGCCAACAGAGCACAGCGCCAUAUUAUACCAAGGAGUAGAGCCAGAUCCUCAAGCGAAGUGUGUACAAAGUCUUACCUCUGGACUUCUCAGUUUUCUGACGCACCAUUUCCUUUACUCGUAAGCCACUUCAAAUUAGAUCUUCCCUUCCUCCUCAACAUCAGUUCACAA